CGGAACAUAGCAUAUAUAAUGCCUUUUACUUACACUAAAAUUAAAACAUACCUGUUUGUUUCGCC
rnacentral:tRNA from 1 species